UAGUCGGCUCUCCUUAAAAGUAUUAGCAGAACUUUUUGUAAGCCGUCUACAUAGUGUGAUAAUUAUCUACGCUAUUGAUGUUGCUUACGCUAAUAUAAUAAAAGUUCAGCUUUCUAAUAGUCCAUUUACUUGGACAAUAUCAAUAUUCGUAUUGAUGACCAUUUGACCUCAAAUCAAGUAGGACUACCCGCUGAACUUAA
rnacentral:misc_RNA from 1 species